CUAGAUUUCAUCAAUGUAUGACCUAUGACUUCCAUGGAACUUGGGAGCAGUUCACUGGCCAUAACAGUCCGCUUUACCGUGGAUCUGAGGAUUUUGGUGCAAUCUAUUUCAAUACUGAUGCCAUGAGGUACUGGAGAGACAAUGGCACCCCAGCAGAGAAGCUGAGAAUGGGAUUUGCAGCCUACGGUCGUACCUUCCGUCUAACCUCUUCAGAUACAGGGUUGGAGCCCCUGCUAGUGGCCCCGCAUCAGCUGGACCAUACACCCGCGAAGCUGGAUUCUGUCUUACUAUGAAGGCACCCCCCAUCCGUGGAAUCAGUGACCAGAACGUUCCCCUAUGCGACUAAAAAUAAUGAGUGGAUAGGCAUUCGACAACAAUGGGAAAGGCUCGACCAAAUCCAGCUACCUGCAGGAGCAGAAGUUUGGCGGUGCUUUUGUAUGGGCCCUUGAUUUAGAUGACUUUGCUGGAAAAUUCUGUGGAGAAGGAAACCACCCUCUCCUUUCCCAUCUUCGCAGUCUUCUUAAUAUGCUUCCACCACUGCCCUCAACCACCACCCCCAAACCUGGCGCUAGCACUACAUCUCCAACCACCACCACCACCACCACUACACAUGCUCCAGGACCUGGCUUCUGCAAUGGUAAACCUGAUGGCCUGUAUCCCAACCCAGACGACAGGACCAGUUUCUACAUGUGUGCUGCAGGCAUCACACACGUGAGGUUCUGUGGAACUGGAUCGGUCUUUGAUGACAACUGCAAGUGCUGCGUUUGGCCUUGAGCUUUCAAUGGUAGUAAAACACAAUAAAGCUGACACCAACAAUUGAAAAGACUCUAAAUUCCCUCUUCCAUCCAUCUACUGUUUGUGUAAUCAGGUACCUAUAUGUACUAUUAGCACAGAAAAAAUGUAUAGUUUUAGUGACGUAUGGGACAAGAAAUAUAAUUUGCAAACAUAUACCAGCUAAAAGAAACUACCUUUAUACCCUUGACAACACUACGGAGAGCUGUCAAUGUAUAUGUCAUUGGAAAUAAAGGAAUAAAAACAUUU